UACGGGGGGGGGCAAGCGUUGUUCGGAAUUACUGGGCGUAAAGGGCUCGUAGGCGGCCGCUUAAGUCAGACGUGAAAUCCCUCGGCUCAACCGGGGCACUGCGUCUGAGACUGAAUGGCUUGAAUCCGGGAGAGGGAUGCGGAAUUCCAGGUGUAGCGGUGAAAUGCGCAGAUAGUCAGGAGGGAACACCGGUGGCGAAGGCGGGUCUCUGGGCAGUAACUGA
rnacentral:rRNA from 1 species